CCUACGGGCGGCAGCAGUGGGGAAUAUUGCACAAUGGGGGAAACCCUGAUGCAGCGACGCCGCGUGAGCGAUGAAGUAUUUCGGUAUGUAAAGCUCUAUCAGCAGGGAAGAAAAUGACGGUACCUGACUAAGAAGCCCCGGCUAACUACGUGCCAGCAGCCGCGGUAAUACGGAGGGGGCAAGCGUUAUCCGGAUUUACUGGGUGUAAAGGGAGCGUAGACGGCGGUUCAAGGCAGAUGUGAAAGCCUGGGGCUCAACCCCGGGACUGCCUUUGGAACUGGGCUGCGCGAGUGCCGGAGAGGCAGGCGGAAUUCCUAGUGGAGCGGUGAAAGGCGUAGAUAUUAGGAGGAACACCAGUGGCGAAGGCGGCCUGCUGGACGAUGACUGACGUUGAGGCUCGAAAGCGUGGGGAGCAAACAGGAUUAGAUACCCUAGUAGUC
rnacentral:rRNA from 1 species